UGGGGAAUAUUGCACAAUGGGCGCAAGCCUGAUGCAGCCAUGCCGCGUGUGUGAAGAAGGCCUUCGGGUUGUAAAGCACUUUCAGCGAGGAGGAAGGUGGUGAGCUUAAUACGCUCAUCAAUUGACGUUACUCGCAGAAGAAGCACCGGCUAACUCCGUGCCAGCAGCCGCGGUAAUACGGAGGGUGCAAGCGUUAAUCGGAAUUACUGGGCGUAAAGCGCACGCAGGCGGUUUGUUAAGUCAGAUGUGAAAUCCCCGGGCUCAACCUGGGAACUGCAUUUGAAACUGGCAAGCUAGAGUCUCGUAGAGGGGGGUAGAAUUCCAGGUGUAGCGGUGAAAUGCGUAGAGAUCUGGAGGAAUACCGGUGGCGAAGGCGGCCCCCUGGACGAAGACUGACGCUCAGGUGCGAAAGCGUGGGGCAGCAAACAGGAUUAGAUACCCUGGUAGUCCACGCUGUAAAACGAUGUCGAUUUUGGAGGUUGUGCCCCUUGAGGCGUGGCUUCCGGAGCUAACG
rnacentral:rRNA from 1 species